UUUGCUGAUGAACUCGUUGACCGUCAUGAGUGUCUGGGACCAUUCCUCAUCUGUGUACCUUGAACCAACUUCCACUGGGACAGUUCGGCAGCCAGCGAUCUCUUGGAUAUACUCCAAACUAGCAGAAAGACACACAUUGGCAUCGUCACUGCUAAUAUCUGUUGGGCAUAGUACUAAGUGUGCUUUGCAUGUGGUCCCCUUUCAUCCUCGGAAAACCUCAUGUGCAGAGACAAGGACUGUCAUCCCCAGCUUCACUGAUGAGGAAACUGGCAUGGAGAGGCGGGGCUCCCUGUUCAAGGCUGUGUGGCUCAUACACAGUGCUGUGCAGCUUUGCAGAUUGGGCCGGCCAGUCUGGUUGGCUGGGCUGCUCUAGUUCCCUGCUUGCCAACGGCCUCCUCACUUCUUUCUUGGCUCAUUUUGUCCCUAAGCUGAGAAACCUUUGAACAAACAGUGGGCAGUGCGGCAGGUGGCAGUCUCCUGGACUCUGCCAUCUAGCCUGGGACUGAUUCCAGGCCUCAUCAGUUACAGGCCAGGGGAUCUGCCGCAGGUUACUGAACCUGAGUCCUUGAUCCCCAUUUACAGAAUGGGGGUGGUGAUAACACCUGUCCUAGUGCCAGGUGUGUAGUAAAAUGCUUAAUGAAGCCUUGCUGUGAGGAGAGCUCCUGCAAUGAGAAUUCCUCCACAUGUCUCAGCGGGUACCCUUCCCUCCGCUAAACCACAAAACAGGCUGACUCUAUCUACCUUCCUGGAGAGAUGCCUCCUUAUUUCCAAACUCAUGCAGAGCCGCGGCAUGACAGCCACGCUCCAGCUGUCUGAUCUGAUCUCCCCAUCAUGAUUCGGAGAAAGGACUAGAAACAAACACAAGGAGACCACAGACUCCCUCAGAGAGAGAGGGGCUGUCUCUUGGGUUAUUUCUGCGCUUAGCCUCAGGGCCCCUGAGAUGGUCUGAAAUUGCUAGGAUCCUGCAAAAUUGCAUAACAGACACAUCCUAGGACUGCCACUUAGGGACUCAUUAAAAAACUGCUUAGGGAGAGCAAGGUAGAAGGUAAGAAUCCCAUAACCUGCGGCAUAAAUUCAGAGCACCUUACUUUUCACUCUUUUUUAACCCCUUGGCAAUCAGUCAAGGGCUGCUAGUGAAGCAUCUGCAAGGCUGCAUUUCCCUGCGGAUGGUCGGGAGGAAUUCAGGGAGCCCUGGGGAACGCUAAAAUGGGAAAAGGGACCUCACCUCCCUCGGUGACCACCCACCUCCACUUCUGCAUGCACGGCCAGUGGUCAGCCACGCCUUUCAGGAUCACGGGCCUCCCUGGAACCAAAAACUGCUCCCUGAAAUGCUGGAGGGACGGACGGUGCAGCCGGGGGACUGUUGUUUCUAACUUCACAUCUGGAAUCAAACCAUGGUCCGCCCUUGCUUUCUGUUUAAAAUCAAAACAGAACAAAAUAGCAACCACCUCAGGAAGUUGACAGUGGAGAUAUUCUACCAGGAACCUGUGUCAGGGGUAGGAGAGCUUAGCUGUCAAGAGUACAGUAACAACAAUAGACAACGUUUGUUAUUAUUACUGCUACUAUUACUAUUUGCUCCUCAUGAGAUCAAGGUGGUUUUUUUCUUAACCAUUUCAUUAAAAAUGUUUGUUUCAUUAUAAACUGCUUUCACAGACAUUCUGCAAUAAAGGAAAACUUACUAUCUCCAA
rnacentral:antisense_RNA from 1 species